CCUACGGGGGUCAGCAGUGGGGAAUAUUGGACAAUGGGGGGAACCCUGAUCCAGCCAUGCCGCGUGUGUGAAGAAGGCCCUCGGGUUGUAAAGCACUUUCAGUGAGGAAGAACGCCUGGUGGUUAAUACCCAUCAGGAAAGACAUCACUCACAGAAGAAGCACCGGCUAACUCCGUGCCAGCAGCCGCGGUAAUACGGAGGGUGCGAGCGUUAAUCGGAAUUACUGGGCGUAAAGCGCGCGUAGGUGGCUUGAUAAGCCGGUUGUGAAAGCCCCGGGCUCAACCUGGGAACGGCAUCCGGAACUGUCAAGCUAGAGUGCAGGAGAGGAAGGUAGAAUUCCCGGUGUAGCGGUGAAAUGCGUAGAGAUCGGGAGGAAUACCAGUGGCGAAGGCGGCCUUCUGGACUGACACUGACACUGAGGUGCGAAAGCGUGGGUAGCAAACAGGAUUAGAUACCCUAGUAGUC
rnacentral:rRNA from 1 species